GGGCCCGCACAAGCAGUGGAGUAUGUGGAUUAAUUCGACGCAACGCGAAAAACCUUACCAGGUCUUGACAUCCAUCUAACGAAGCAGAGAUGCAUUAGGUGCCCUUCGGGGAAAGAUGAGACAGGUGGUGCAUGGUUGUCGUCAGCUCGUGUCGUGAGAUGUUGGGUUAAGUCCCGCAACGAGCGCAACCCUUAUUGAUAGUUGCUACGCAAGAGCACUCUAUCGAGACUGCCGUUGACAAAACGGAGGAAGGUGGGGACGACGUCAAAUCAUCAUGCCCCUUAUGACCUGGGCCUCACACGUACUACAAUGGCCGGUACAGAGGGAAGCAAAGCCGCGAGGUGGAGCAAACCCCUAAAGCCGGUCUCAGUUCGGACUGCAGGCUGCAACUCGCCUGCACGAAGUUGGAAUUGCUAGUAAUCAUGGAUCAGCAUGCCAUGGUGAAUACGUUCCCGGGCCUU
rnacentral:rRNA from 1 species